GACGAACGCUGGCGGCGCGCUUAACACAUGCAAGUCGAACGGUGAACCGGGCUUCGGCCCGGGGAUCAGUGGCGAACGGGUGCGUAACACGUGGGCAACCUGCCCCUCACUCUGGGAUAACCCCGGGAAACCGGAGCUAAUACCGGAUACUCCGACCGGUCCGCAUGGUCUGGUCGGGAAAGGUCCGCCGGUGAGGGAUGGGCCCGCGGCCUAUCAGCUUGUUGGUGAGGUAACGGCUCACCAAGGCGACGACGGGUAGCUGGUCUGAGAGGACGACCAGCCGCACUGGGACUGAGAUACGGCCCAGACUCCUACGGGAGGCAGCAGUGGGGAAUCUUGCGCAAUGGGCGAAAGCCUGACGCAGCGACGCCGCGUGGGGGAUGACGGCCCUCGGGUUGUAAACCCCUUUCGGCAGGGACGAAGCGAUCGUGACGGUACCUGCAGAAGAGGCCUCGGCUAACUACGUGCCAGCCGCCGCCGUAACAC
rnacentral:rRNA from 1 species